UAUUUGUGCGAGAAAGCAGAAAGCAGG
rnacentral:sRNA from 1 species